rnacentral:rRNA from 1 species
CCUACGGGGGGCUGCAGUAGGGAAUAUUGGGCAAUGGACGCAAGUCUGACCCAGCCACGCCGCGUGAAGGAUGACUGCCCUAUGGGUUGUAAACUUCUUUUGUAUGGGAAGAAACCUCCGAACGUGUUCGGAGCUGACGGUACCAUAAGAAUAAGCAUCGGCUAACUCCGUGCCAGCAGCCGCGGUAAUACGGAGGAUGCAAGCGUUAUCGGGAUUCAAUGGGGCUAAGGGGUGCGUUUAAGGAAGUUUAGAAAGCUCGCAGCUUAACUGUGAAAAUGCCAUUGAAACUGAUUUUCUUGAGUUCGAUUGAGGUAGAUGGAAUGUAUCAUGUAGCGGUGAAAUGCUUAGAUAUGAUACAGAACACCAAUUGCGAAGGCAGUCUACUAAGUCGAUACUGACGCUGAGGCACGAAAGCAUGGGGAGCAAACAGGAUUAGAUACCCCUGUAGUC